rnacentral:rRNA from 1 species
CAGUCGCCGCGGGAAUACGUAGGGUGCAAGCGUUAAUCGGAAUUACUGGGCGUAAAGCGUGCGCAGGCGGUUCGCUAAGACGGAUGUGAAAUCCCCGGGCUUAACCUGGGAACUGCAUUUGUGACUGGCGGGCUAGAGUAUGGCAGAGGGGGGUAGAAUUCCACGUGUAGCAGUGAAAUGCGUUGAGAUGUGGAGGAAUACCGAUGGCGAAGGCAGCCCCCUGGGCCAAUACUGACGCUCAUGCACGAAAGCGAGGGGAGCAAACAGGAUUAGAUACCCCCGUAGUCCCUGUCUCUUAUAC